rnacentral:sRNA from 1 species
CUGUGGGUUGGAAUAAAAAAGAACGCCUUGGCUCCCAGAAGAAGACAUUAAUAAUCCCCGUGCACAUUUUUAGGUUAAGGUACACCAAUGUCACUCUCAUUCAUUCCAUAUCAUUCCUCGCAUUCGUGGCGAGGCAACGCGAGGCAGCAGUAACAGCAGCAGAACAGAAACAGAAGUGCCGCAGUUCUCCUUUUUGGCAAGUCAUUGCGAAAGUGACCCAGUUCUGUGCCAACUCCACAACUACAUCCACAUCCAACUUAUCAAAAUAACCAUGAGCAUCAAUCUCAGCAUCCGCAUCUCAUCCUUGCCGGCUACCUGGUGCCAGCCGAGCAGUUCAUUGAUGCAGAAGAAGAUGCGCGUGCUGGCGGAUACUUCCUGGUAGUGCACUUUUAUGGACGCGAGUAAAACUCAUUUUAAUUUCGGCCAUAAACCAUAAGACUAGGACGAAAAUCGUUCUACCAUCGCUUGACGCCUUCCAUUGUGCAUUCCGCUUAACCCUUUCACCCAGCCAAGUGUCUGUCCAUGUGCGCGCAAGUGUGUGUGUGAAUCCGAACCCGGCUCAUUAUGUUGGCCAUAAACGAUCAAUUGUCUGGUUUCUCAAUGAAAGUUUUUACUGAAAUAAGUUCUACCUGAGUAUUCGGAAAUGCGCGGGAUUUCCUAUUUAUUAAUUACAUGAUUUUUGAAAUGUC